rnacentral:hammerhead_ribozyme from 1 species
AUCCAACUGACGAGUCCCAAAUGGGACGAAAAGUGCGUCUUUGAU